CUUCAUCUAAAGACUUUAUUUUAAGAGCAGUAUGCUUGCAUAUAUGCUUGCAUAAUUCUUAAUUCCUAUAUCCAGGGACGCCGGAACGAUAAUAGGGCAAAGGGGGGCGGACGCACACCAAGGGCACCUUUACUGAAAAAUUUUUUUUCACUGGAACAUUUUUUGGCGACCCCCCCCCCGUCGCCAAAAAAAUUUCGGUCAGUGUACCAUUUUAGGGGUCAAAAAAAUUUUCCGGACAUACAAAAAUUUUCCGUGAAGCCAAAAAUUUUUCCGGAUAUAUUAAAUUUUCGCCAUUUCUUCAAAAUAUUUUUCUAAAUUCCAAAAAUUUCCCAAAAUUUUUAUAAAUAUAAACUAUAAAUUACCUCAAUCUCCUGAUUUUCCUACAAAAAGCAUCGUUGGAAAUGUGAUUUAUCACGUAUUAUUUUACAACUAAAAGGGCACUUCUGCCCCCCC